rnacentral:rRNA from 1 species
GACGAACGCUGGCGGCGUGCUUAACACAUGCAAGUCGAACGGAAAGGCCCUGCUUGCAGGGUACUCGAGUGGCGAACGGGUGAGUAACACGUGGGUGAUCUGCCCUUCACUUCGGGAUAAGCCUGGGAAACUGGGUCUAAUACCCGAUAUGACCUUCCAUGUAGUGUGGGGGGUGGAAAGAUUUAUCGGUGUGGGAUGAGCCCGCGGCCUAUCAGCUUGUUGGUGGGGUAAUGGCCUACCAAGGCGUCGACGGGUAGCCGGCCUGAGAGGGUGGACGGCCACAUUGGGACUGAGAUACGGCCCAGACUCCUACGGGAGGCAGCAGUGGGGAAUAUUGCACAAUGGGCGGAAGCCUUAUGCAGCGACGCCGCGUGGGGGAUGACGGCCUUCGGGUUGUAAACCUCUUUCGACAGGGACGAAGCUUCGGUGACGGUACCUGUAUAAGAAGCACCGGCUAACUACGUG